UGAACGGUCAAGGUAUUCACGAAGGAACACGAUUGAGGCUACGAGGUCCGAUGGAUUUCGAUCGAUUGUAGGCUGAGGUUGCAUCUCCGGGGUCGACGAGACCGAAGCGACGAAGGAACAAAGAAGCAACCUCGUGCUCCCUCUCGUCCGACUGCGAGGUGCAAAGUCCAGGCAUUGCAAGCAGCAGUAUCAUCAAAGACGAGACCUUCGGACGUCUGUGUUCGAUGGGAACAGAAGAGAAAGAAAGUGAGGGGAGGAGGUCCGAAAGGGAGUCCAGGAUUGUCGAUCGGUGGUGCUUCUGUCCGGCUGUGAGGUGCAAGGCAUGGGAUUUGGUGUGGCUAAGAGGUUGUGAUAGGAAGGAGACCAGAAAAGGGGUCGGCUAGAACAAGGAAAUCAGGUGGGAGCUUCGUUGAGUUUUGCUCGACGGGAAGAAGGGAAAAGGUCUCCGAAAUGAUUGUGAUCAAAAGGUGUUGGAGUGUUGUUCUCCUUUUGUUUAAACGAUCAAUGGAAGGGAAUGACAGCAAGCAAACCCAUCUCUGGUGCUGGUACGAUGCAGUAGGAUAAUUGAACAAUGUUUAGGAACACAUGUCCAACCCGUUCACGAGUUCAAGAGAGAAAGAAAAGGAAAUAGAAAAGGAAAUAGGUGGAAAUGCUAAGAAAAUAAAAGAAAGACAAAAUUGCAAAAAUGGUCCCUGUGGUAUGCAAAAUUUUGGGAUUUUAGUCCAAA